CCUUUGAGUAUAUUUGUCACGCCCCGAGCUCCGCCUCUUUGGUCGGAUUCGGGCACGCCGACAGACCGCCGAACGGACAGAGCUUCCCCUGUACGUUCUAGGCGUCAACAAUCUAUACAAUGCAAUACGAGAGGUUCCAAACAGGAACUGUAUUCAAGCACAGAUUGCAUCAGUAUCGAAAACAUAAAGUGUAAACUAUACUAUUACAAGCAUUCAUCUCAGAGAUUCUUUUACAUUUACAAUACUUUACAUUCACAUAGCCACAUAUGCUUUUGAAUUACUACAAAACUUAAACAAAUUACUACACUUUUGUUUCGUUCCACUUGAACUCUGAACUUGACCUUGACCACUUCAGGGUAUUGCUAUCUCGGUCUCAGUGGUGGGGCGCUAUGUACGAAACUACGUCCUGUCCUCGCGCCGCUGCGCCGCUCACGUGCAACCUGUACCCCCAAAACAACACGGGGGUGAGAACUAUAUAAAUAUAGUUCCCAGUGGGUACGGCCACCCAAGAGAAGAGCUCGACCCACCAGGUCCAAAGGAGGCAACAGUAGGUUAGUCCACAAGUAGAUAGAUAAUCAAUUAUGCAACAAAUAAAACCUUACCUUGCCUCGCUGCUAUGCAAUAUGCAAUACCUGUAAAUCUUGUCAGUAGAUCACUUGAUUCUACUUUAUAUCAUUAGCCAUUCAUUAUUCAAUAGCAUUCUUUUCUCUUUAUUAGUUAUUCACGUUCAUUAGCUGUUCUUUACUUAUGGCCGUUCUAUUCUUUCUUAGCUAGUUUCAUUCAUUAGCUAUUUUCUUUAUUCUUUACACUUUUAUGCUCACUGGCAAUUCUUUCCUAAGGUUACUUACCUUAGCCAUCUAGCCACUCGACUCAGUCUUGAGUCAAUCAACCGCGGAGUACCGCGUCAAAUCAGGCUCGAGGUCAAGGACGUCUCACAAGCACCUCAGCCCUAGAAUCCACUCGACAAGGAUACCCAAUCUAUAGCUCAUAAUAUAGACAUAAUGUAAGAUAUCAUUACCCAAUCUUUUAGUUAACCCUCUGGUUAACAAUAACUCACUGACACUAUCCCAAACAUCGGGGAGACGCAACCUGCACCCGACGGGACUGUCAACUGGGGGAGACGCACCUCCUGGUCCAGUAAAGAUGACUACUCCGGAGCUCAUCGUUCAAGGAGGAGCGACCUACCUUGAACCAAACAAAUGUGAGUAUGAUCUGAUCCUCCUUUAGAGGAUUCAACAAUAGACAAUGUCACACUGAACGCUAACCAGCUCUUUAUGCUAGUUUCACACUUUGCUUUCUCGAUGCUAACCCAAUUCCUAGUUAGAAUGUCACCAAGUUUACUAGUGUUAUAGUUCAUGCAUUCAUAGGGUUCUAUGUUCACAUUCUAAGGUUCACAAGUCCUCAUUGGUGAUAGGACUUUACAUUUGCACUUGCACAAUGGCGAUCACCCUAUAAUACAGGACAUGACUACAAUAUCAAUAUAUCUGAAUAUGCUCAAAUACCUCCUAUGUCAAGACACAAGGUUUAAUGCCACUCGAUCUAUUCAUUGUCCUAGUUAUCCACAACCAGGGUUAUCAUUGGCACAUUUUCAUUUACCUUGUUACUGUUCAAAUUCCUACUCAGUUAGAGUUGUCGAUUCAUACCCAAUUCUUAGGGAUUAAUAAAGUUUGCAUAUUCUCACUUAUCUUAUUACCAUCGAGGUUUCGAGUUGAAUUAGUAACAUUCAUAUAGCUCGUACUAAAGUACAUUCAUUUUCAUAUAUGUUCAGACAUAGGCAUCGAACUUCUACUUCAAUUAUGUAGGCUUUAGCAUCUUUGUUCACAAUUCAUAUUCAGCUUACAUGCCCGUGGCAUUUACAGGUUCCACCUGUUAUAUCAUAUAUUUACUCAUAUAAGGAUAAGGAAAAGCGUUAAGAGUGAAACGACCAAAUUGGCCUUUUAACUCAGCAACUGUUGUUGCUGGUGCUUGCUGUACCGGUACAGGAUGAUGGUUGUACCGGUACACCAAUGCGAAUUUCACAGGGCAAUGCUCAUCUUGGCUUCCCACAAUCACAUCAUGUGAUUUCAUUUCACUUCCAAGUUUCCAUAGCAAUUCCCAUAGCUUUCACGUUCAUAAAUCGAUGUUUAGCUAUAAACAUCCACAUUCAUAAGCAUUUAACACUAGCUUUCACGGAUCAUGUAUCACAAUUAUAGACACUGUAGCAUUUGUAUUCGCAUUUCGACCAUUUCAUAUUGAGCAUUCAAUAUCCAUGUGCAUCUAGCAUUCAUAUAGCAUUCAUAUAGCAUUCAUAUUCAUGUUCAUAUUUAUAGUCAUAGUGCUAAAUGGUCAUAUGUCGAUAUAUAGUUCCAUAUAUGCGUCAAAUAAAAACAUGAUCUACUUUGGCAUGGAAGUGACCUAAUCACUUCGGUAAGCACAACCCACCUUUCUUUGAUGCCGGAAUGGAAGAAAUUCGCUUCUAGUGCUUUCCCGAGAAUCGCGACCCGCGCUCGCGACUUUCGACGUCGAAAACCUUCUUUUGGCAAUAUCUUCGCGUAGGAGCGUCGGAUUGCCGAACCGACUUCGCCAGCGAGUUUCUUUUACCCCCAAUUUGGUUUGUACGUAGUCAAUUUCGUGUUCGGACUUCUAUCCUGCAAAAGUGCAUUGUCGGGUCAGUUUUCGAUAAAAACGAGUUUCAAUGCACUUUUCACAAUUACAUAGCGUAAUUCAAGUCUUAUUAGCCCAAGAGCUUCAAAACAGUUAAUAAAAACUGUCCAAAUACUGAAACUCCAUUUUUCUCUUCUUUCUUUUUCAUUUCUUUCUUUUCCUUACUUUCUUUCUUUUCUUUUCCUUUCUUUCUUUCUUUCUUUCCCUGCAACCUGCAGGUUUUCUUUUUUUUUUCUUUUCAUUCUUUCUUUCCUUUCUUUUCUUCCUGUUUUUCCUUUCCCUGCAGCAGCUGCUGCUGAUGCUAUUCCUGCUGCUGCUGCAGCUGCUUGCAUGCUGCUGCUGCUAUUCAGCAGCUCAUGCUGAGCUGCUGUUCCUGCGCCUGCUGUGCUGCGCAAGCAGCUGUUGCUGCUGCUGCUGCUCAGCAGCCCUGCUGAGCUGCAUGCUGCUGUUCUUGCUCCCCGCUACUGCUGAAGCAGCUGCUGCUGCUCCUGCUCAGCAGGGAGAGAGAGAUGAGAGGGAAUAGAGCAAAGAGAGAAAUAGAAAUCUUACUUGCUUUCUUUCUUUUUUUUUUCCUUCUUCAUCUGCUUCUUCUUCUUCUUUUUCUUCUCUUUUCUCUUCUUUUCUCCAUCUCUCUCUCUCUACGUAUGAUGCUGCAGAGGGGAGGAGUGGCAGGGGAUAAGGAUGAAGAGGAGCCUGGCAGGGGGUUUAGUGGAAAUCCACUAAGCAUGCUGAAAUUACCAUAACGCCCCUCGACUUAAGCCAUUUAGCGUCACGGAGUAAAUAUCUUCCGUAAGCCCUUCCGACAGUCCGAUUGAGCUCAAAUUUGGCAGGAAUGUUCGUUUUUCCUUAACAAGUCCACUGAAAUUUUAACAUUUCAGUUUCGACCCCGUUUGGUCACUGCGAACUGUCCCGCACUGUAAUCUUUAUCUGAUCACUUCCUUAUGCAAUUUCUCUCUCUACAGGUGUCAGAAAAAUCAGAAACUUCAAAACUAGCCUUAUAUUAAUGUUCCUGACAUCUCUGCCAAUUUUCAUAAUUUUCUGACACUGUGCAUUUUCUGCUAAUUUUCUCAGUCCCGUUCUUUACAGAAAAUUCUAGAUUUUCCGUUUUCACUCCGAUUUCUUCCAAACAUGUCCAAAAUAUACCAAGGGACCUUUACGAGCUACCAAUUCCAUUUGGAAGCAAUUCCUUUGCAUUUUGACAUUAUUGGAGCCGAAUUAGCAAUAAAGUCAGCUCCAAUGCACUUUCUCCCUUUUUGCAUUACCACUUCGCACUGAAUACUUCCAAACCCUUUGAAAAAACACGCCCUGAGCUUUUCCAAAGCUUCACAAUUAAUUCGGAGAUGCCACAAUUUAUCCUUGCGCUUUACUUUAAUUCUUUUAAUCAAAGUUAGCGUCGGGAAUCCGAAAUUCUCUUUAUUUUUCGUUCGCGCCCAAUUUGCGCCGAAACACUUGUUUAUCUCCGAAAUUCAUUCCAACGCAUCACAAUUCACUCUAGGAUGAUGUCCAACUAGCUCACUCCUCACUUUGACCUUCUAGGUCAAAGUUGACAUCGCAACUCCCAGAUUCUCAUAUGUUACAUUCUCCCCUCGUUAACAAAAGUUUCGUCCGCGAAACUUAGAUACAUAUUACUCUUCAUUGUUUAACGGAGGGAGGUAAAUUCCAACACCAUUUCAAGAUUUCUCAAUUUCAUUCCAUACUAUACUGAGUUUUUUUCCAAAUCAGUUUCUACGAACACUUUGUUCGCAUUUCCAAUCUCAACUCGUCAUCGAUGCUUAUCUCAGCAAUUCUGACUGAUUUAUCCAUAGGACCAAGCUUUUGCUUUCACGGUCCCUAGACAUAAUUCACUUGAAUACCUUCGAUGUACUCCAGUGUACAACCCUUUCAGGGUAUACGGCUAAACCACUCAUCCCAAUUCGGUUCAUAAGUUACCGAUCCGAUAUAGGCCGAUUGCCUAACUCAACCGUGACAUGACAUAAUGCCGCUCGCUCGUAAGCGUAGACCCAAUUAUCACUAUUGGGCGAAAUUCUUAUUAGAGAAUUCGCACAUACUCCAACCAGGAGCAACAAGACCUCGAACCACAACAAUUCCUCGGGUUGGGUCACUACACACUCUGUGUGCAUCACCGAUUUCACGGUCCAACACGUGGCAUUCCACGUACUCGGGUCUAUGCUCGGGCUCCCGUCCUGACCAAAACUCUCUGCCCUACCUGCAGGUAUCGGGCCGCUGUCUCUCACAGCUGACUGCGCCUACCCAAUGGGUCCAGGCUCCACAGUCCACAAGUGGUCCAGGCACGGACUGUCCCCAAGCACUACCCGCAAACGUCGUCUCACGCGACACGUUCUACUGAGCACACGUAUCACUAUCGGCUCCUACGCACCUAGUGCGAGCCACCAGCCCUACGAGUGACCUCUGGCACGCUUCACACUUCGCAAUGCUAAAGUGCUACUGCCAACGCACUCACGGCUGAAACGAAUCUGUACUCUACGAGCACCAACACUCGAGCGCUCUACACGAAUCUCGCAUUAGGCAACUCUUGCCUAUGCACUCAACUACACGGGCACGACCCAUUGACCUCACUUUGAGAUAUUGUUAGGUCCUCAUGCACGUACCAGACGCAAUAGUGAUUCUAUUUUCACUGUUCGAUCUACUAGGACAACCUGCAAAAUGCUUAGUCUUACGCAAGUUCCACGAACAUCGUGACUUGACUCUGGCAAACCACAACUCACAUUAAUUUGAGAGUUGGUCAGCUACUACCACUAUUAUCACACUAUCACCAGCGAUUUGCUAGUGCCCUCGGAUUCUCUACCUGUUCCAACAGGUACUACGCAUCCACAACACAAGCAUAUUUGGGUCUCUACAAUCAAUCACUACUAUCCUCAUACACAAACAUGCAAUGCACCAAUUUGCCCGGUCAUCACCAGCUGUUACAGAUUUCUCAGCCUGGUCUGUGUAUUCACGGUCACUCGCCGUUCGCCGCGAACCCCUCGGUUGCUUUAUUCUCAUUCGCUCUCCAGACAGUGUCGCAGGUGGCACACUUGCAAGUUGUCCCAGAAAGGGAAAGGGCGUCGCCAAUAUACUAUCACUCGCAAGCACUCAUAAUCUGGGUAUUCCGGUUGUCUACAUCGAGUGCACUUUCCUUCCCACUGCACGCAACAUCGUGCCCAAUGGGAACCACCACAAAUCACACAUCGUGGGGAGGAUCGAGUAGAGGAUGAUGUCGAGAGGUGUCCAAAACUUGACUGUUCAUCUGAGUUACUUGGUAGUGGCUUCACUCGCUUACAUUCCUCCAACUCGCGCUCUUCACGCACAAAGGCGUUACCUUGCUCUAUCCAUAGAGCCCGAUCCAAGACUUCAGUAAAAGUCUGUAACUUGAGAUUGUGCACCGUGUUGAAAAUAUCAGGCCGAAGUCCUCGUACAAAACAUUCAGCUCGAUCCUUAUCGUCUUGUACCACACUUGGAACACAACUCACGAUACGGGAGAAUUCUCGCUCACAUUCCCUCACGGAGCGGUCUUCUUGCCGCAACUUUUGAAACCUGUCCCGAAGUUUUCUCUUUUCAUCAGCUUUUCAUCAGCUUCUUGACAGUCACUAAAGCCGCUAAAGCACGCUUCCUUUCACCUUCCAUCUGUGUACUAACAGAAGUCGGAGCACCCGACCCCGACGGAAAUGCCUCUGUCGCCACUGUCGGCCGUACACGACGAGCCGAAACUGGUGUAGUCACCAACUGCUCCACCAUUUCCUGGAGUCUUUUAAUCCGCUCUUCUUGGCGCAAAGCAGCCUUCUGCUGACGCUGCACCACAUCCGUUUGUUGCCGCACUACUCCCACGAGUGUGGCCAACUGCUCGCGAAGCUCCAAGUCUCCGCUCUUCUCGUUCUACUCGGGGACACCACUUGUCCCAUCCCGCGCCGAUCUAAUCAAAGAUCGCCUACGCGCCCAGAACCUGACACGACAACUCGGUCAGUCCGCGACCCUCUAGGCCGAAUACGAAACGACUGAUACGAACUCAAAUCGCGCGCGAAAGUCAUGCAAGGAAGCUUAUUCCCAUCCCUCGGUCUUCAUGUUGUGUCGACCCAACAUGAACUCACUUGGCUGAGAAUAAACUGAACCUUGAAUCUACCUCUAAUAUCCGUCUUAGAGGUUUACUAAACUUGACCCAAUUGCUUUUCCUUUCGCCACACGUCACAAGUCCUCGUCACUCACGAGCGUGAGUCCUUACGGUUUACUAUCCUAGGUCUCCUAGGUCUGCUUAAACCAUUUCUUUUAUUCUCUGUGAUGCUCUUUUAUGCUCUGAUACCAUUUAAUCUGUCACGCCCCGAGCUCCGCCUCUUUGGUCGGAUUCGGGCACGCCGACAGACCGCCGAACGGACAGAGCUUCCCCUGUACGUUCUAGGCGUCAACAAUCUAUACAAUGCAAUACGAGAGGUUCCAAACAGGAACUGUAUUCAAGCACAGAUUGCAUCAGUAUCGAAAACAUAAAGUGUAAACUAUACUAUUACAAGCAUUCAUCUCAGAGAUUCUUUUACAUUUACAAUACUUUACAUUCACAUAGCCACAUAUGCUUUUGAAUUACUACAAAACUUAAACAAAUUACUACACUUUUGUUUCGUUCCACUUGAACUCUGAA
rnacentral:lncRNA from 1 species